GGCGCUCACUUCGUCCUCUGCCCCGGCAGACCACACGAAACCCGC
rfam:Pelobacter propionicus DSM 2379, complete genome.